GCACGUGUGCAAGACUUCACAACACCAAGCUGUGAGAUCAUAACACAUGAUUGGCACAAUGUAUUCAUAAUAUAUCACAUGACUGGCAACAUGUAUGGACAAAAUA